UGGCGGCGUGCUUAACACAUGCAAGUCGAACGGAAAUCAGGGAGCUUGCUCCCUGUGAUUAGUGGCGAACGGGUGAGUAACACGUGAGCAACCUGCCCCUAACUUUGGGAUAACUUCGGGAAACCGGGGCUAAUACCAAAUACGACCCAUGAGGGCAUCCUCUGUGGGUGGAAAGAAUUUCGGUUGGGGAUGGGCUCGCGGCCUAUCAGCUUGUUGGUGGGGUAACGGCCUACCAAGGCAUCGACGGGUAGCCGGCCUGAGAGGGUGAUCGGCCACACUGGGACUGAGACACGGCCCAGACUCCUACGGGAGGCAGCAGUGGGGAAUAUUGCACAAUGGGCGCAAGCCUGAUGCAGCAACGCCGCGUGGGGGAAGAAGGCCUUCGGGUUGUAAACCUCUUUUGGCAGGGAAGAAGCGAAAGUGACGGUACCUGCAGAAAAAGCGCCGGCUAACUACGUGCCAGCAGCCGCGGUAAUACGUAGGGCGCGA
rnacentral:rRNA from 1 species